rnacentral:pre_miRNA from 1 species
UGAGGUAGUAGUUUGUGCUGUUGGUCGGGUUGUGACAUUGCCCGCUGUGGAGAUAACUGCGCAAGCUACUGCCUUG